AGGCCCGUAGCUCAGUUGGCCAGAGCCGUGCGUUUACACCGCAUGUGAGUCGUGGGUUCGAAUCCCUCCGGGCCUA
rnacentral:tRNA from 1 species